AGAGAGCCAUAACUUUGAUUGCAUUCCUUGGUUCUUUGGCUCUUGUGGUCUAGCCUUUCUUUGCAGACCAAGUCACUGAGGUUCUCACAUGCUUAGGACAUAUAUGCUCCUAACAAGCAGCUCAGACUAGACCAUGAUUUUAGAUCAGGACUAUGUGCAGAAGAAAGUGUGAGAGGAAAUGGGUGUUAUCAGGGCAAAACAAACCCAAAUGCCUUAACCAAAAAGGGAUUCUUUUCCUCUUCUGCGAGCCGCUGUAGAAAGUCAGCAUGAUAAAGUAUGCAUGUGUAUUUGACACUCAAUUACAUGUGAGUGCUCUGCCUUUUAUUUUCAGUUGUCCCCAAGUCUGCUAAACAAAACACCUCUUCCCUGGUGAGGGUGAUCACUGGCUAUGAGCUGGAGGCUCUCACUGCCAGGGUCUGGGAAGUUGCUCUUCCGGAAGGGUGGUGGAGACCCUGGGAAUUGGACCAGCCCGGCUCACAAGUAUGAAGAGAAUGUCGGGAGAGGAAGUGGUGGCUCUGAGUCAGCAUGAGUCAUCUGGUUCCAGUGACAAUGAAGUCUGAGGUGUGCGCCUUUUUCUUUUUCUUGUCUUUUUUUUUUUUUUUUCCUUAAUCAUGUGGACAUCUCUGAGAAUGGAGGGAACUCAGUGACUUUACAAUGGCUGCUUUCUAAGUUUCAAAGUGACUUUCCAGGCAAGCUGUACACAUCUUGGGAUCUUCACAGCACAGUGGCUGGGAAGGUGGAGCCAUUCACCAGCUUCUCCCGAAUAACUGGGAGCUGAAACAGGAAGCCCCAUGACACAGUUGAUCGAAAA